UGUGAAAGAAAGAAUACCAGUCUCAUUUUUCAGGUAUACAACUUCAAGAGAACACCAUGGCUUUAGUCAAAAGGAAAGAAGCUGCGUCAUGUUGUCGGUGUUUGAAGGAAGAAAAGGCUGAAGAUAAUUCUUUAUCAGGUGGAACAGAACCUCUUAUAUGAAAAGUCUCUGUUCCCAUCAUUCAAAGACUACCAGGAACACAUCUGUGAUCAACAAAGAGAUUAUCUUGGUAGGAUGCCUGCUGAUGUUGGCUUUGAGUGACGUGACCUUCAACGCUUCCUUAAACAUGGACAUGAAAAGGAUCAGCUUCCAG
rnacentral:lncRNA from 1 species